rnacentral:piRNA from 1 species
UAUUGUUUCUGUCUACACUAAAGAGCACACU